AACCUCCGCAAUGUGAGAAAUCGCGACGGGGGGAUCCCAAGUGCCAUUCUUAACGGGAUGGCUUUUCAUUAGUGUAAAGAGCUUUUGGAAUAAGAGCUGGGCAAGACCGGUGCCAGCCGCCGCGGUAACACCGGCAGCUCUAGUGGUAGCAAUUUUUAUUGGGCCUAAAGCGUCCGUAGCCGGUUUAAUAAGUCUCUGGUGAAAUCCUGUAGCUUAACUAUGGGAAUUGCUGGAGAUACUAUUAGACUUGAGACCGGGAGAGGUUAGAGGUACUCCCAGGGUAGAGGUGAAAUUCUGUAAUCCUGGGAGGACCGCCUGUUGCGAAGGCGUCUAACUGGAACGGUUCUGACGGUGAGGGACGAAAGUUAGGGGCGCGAACCGGA
rnacentral:rRNA from 1 species